CAUAGAAUUUCACUGUUAGGAACAAAGUAUCUUUGCUGUGAUACAGAAGGGCCAGGAAAGAAUGGGAGAGUGCUAGAGGGGAAAUAUAUAAGCUCAAGGCUAAUUAAGGUGUGGUUCCCUGUAGACUAGGGAAGGUGGCUGCAGGUUAAUUGGAGCACCUGCAGUCAAUCAAGGCCCCCUUAAGAACCUAAUAAAAUCCCCUGCUUCAGGCAGACAGAAGAAGGAAACUGCUCCCCUCCCUUGCUUGAGCUUGGAGAGGUGUUGAGAGAUUUGGAAGACCUGAAUACUGAAGUAAUGGGGACUCUCUUCCCUGCAGCAUCUAAGGACCGAGGGUAAUCCCACUGAAGGGGGAUGAGGGUUCUCAACUAACGGAGAUUCUCACUUGGCUCAAGGAGUAGGGGGCCUAUUUUCAGAACAGGAGGAUCCAAGUUCUUUCCCCAAAGUUUCUUGUGAAGUUCCAAGUAGCCAUGAAUAUGUUACAUUGACGACAGCACCAGAUAGAACUGAGCCCUUCUGACGUAAGUCUGAGUUUCUGACAAGGUUGGUUUGAUUUACUUCAUUUUAUUGUGUCCUCAGAAACCUUGUAAUAUAAUUGUUGGCAUCCCUUGAAGAACAACCUGAAAUAUUAGCCAUUAUCUUUCUCCUCGCCAUUACCUUCCUUAUCAUUGCCAGUGGCCAUCAGCUACACCAUACAGAAGUGAAAUCGUUUUCAGCAAUACCAAAAAUACAGUCCCUGGGACUUUCACCGAGAAGACACUAGUGUGAGUUAGCUAAGCCUGAGUGUACUCAUUUGCAAGCUGUGUUCACGUCAUGUGACCAGAUUUCAAGAUGGCAUCAGAGCCAGGAAGUUAACAAUUAAGGUCCCUUUCCUGAAAUCUGACCUGCACAGGAGGACCCUUGCACUUGGGCAGAGCCCCACUGACAUAGCGAGGACAAAAGCUUCUGCCCAGAUGGAUCCAGUACUGUACGAGGACUGGGACCUGAGGUUGCACGUCUCAAACAAGGCUUUGUGAAGUGAAUUGUAUUCCUUACGCAGUGAGUGAGGCCCAUACUCAGUCAGUAGGAAAGAAAUGAGGAGGAGAUAAAGGAAGGUCAUAGAUGCUAUUUAAAACAGAGCUAAGCAGAUCAUGCUGGCAUUGAAAUGUCAGUGCUUGGCAGGAAUGGAUACCUAAUGGGACUGGUAUCCUGCACUUGGAGGGGUCUCUCAGCAGGGGGAAGGCAUCAUUGUCUAAAGGAAAGAAUUUACUGGCAGGAGGGAGUAGAACUCCUGUGCUGAUCUGCUGUUGCUGUGACGACCCACUGCCUGGGAUCAGGGAGGUAGCAGAGCUGCUGUCCUGGAAUACAGGUCACGUCUACACUAUUCUUGGACUUCCCAGCCCCCCCUCAGACUAGUGGUGUGUUUUUUUUUUUUGUUUUUUUUUCUCUAAAGUUGCUUUUGGAAUGUUUUGCACAACAAAGUGCCGAGUGAGGGAGGUGCAUGGAUCAGAGCUAGAGCAUGUAAAUACGGGGUCUACUUUCAGGAACCCAGAGAGAACAGGUCUCUCUUGAACACCGCCUACCUUUC